rnacentral:misc_RNA from 1 species
UCUCCGUAGGUGAACCUGCGGAAGGAUCAUUCAUAAUAAGUGUUUUAUGGCACUUUUUAAAUCCAUUUACUCCUUGUGUGCAAUGUCCGUCGCUCUCUUGGAUGGGCACGACCAAACAUCAACCACCUCUUUAAAUCUUUGUCUGAAAACUAUUACGUAUAAAAUAACCCAAAAUACAACUUUCAACAACGGAUCUCUUGGCUCUC